CAGUCGUGGGUGGCGGAGGGUGUGCUGCUCCUCUCCCCGGGCCCUGCCGCGCCUCCGUCAGCAGUGCCGGGAACGUGUCGCCGAGGAGGCUGCAGUGCAUACCUGGAGGAGCCUCGGAGACUUGGCAAGUGUGACGGAGGGCCGACAGAGGGACACAUGGAGAGACUAACUCACCGCUGUAGACGAAGAGGAGGGCGGGCAGGAAGAAGAGGAAGCCGAGGAAGCAGGUGACUGUUGCGGCCAUCUUGAGGAGGUUGAGUCGGGCCUCCACGAUGCGGGCGAAGUGGACGGCUCUCACCCACGCCCGCAGCCCCCACGCCCACCGCCGCCCCGCCCCACGCAGCACAGACGCCCGCCGAUACUUCCUGCAGCGUGUAAAGUCACUCUUCUCCGCCGAGUCGUGAGGGUGUGGGAGAGUGGGCGACCCGCGUUCUGGCGUGUCCCGAUGUGGAGUGAGAGAGCACUGAGCAGAGACCCAGGAAGACCUUCAAUCACACGUCGAGGAAAAGCUACACAAGAUGAACGCUUCCCUCCUUCACCCACCCACCCGGCACAGACAGUCGACGGAGCGGCAGCAGGAGGAACAGGUCUUUGGAAUCAUCUCCGGGGCACAAGCUCCCCACAUAGCUGAGUUAUUAUUUGUGCCCGAGUGCUACUACUUAGGAUUAUUUUUUAUUCUGCUCUCUGCAUACAGUAAUGUAAUAUAUAAACUCAUUUCCAGUGAUAAGAAAGUGGAAAGUUUUCAAAGUUAGGAAAAGGUCUAUAAAUUAUUCGCAAGUGAUUUACACUUAGUCGAAAAUACUUCAAAGACACUCCCGAUAAAAACUAGAGGCAUAUUUUUCUUAAAUUAAACUAGAAGAGUGUCCCCAAUAUAUUUGUUGAACAACCUUUCACAGUAAUAAACAGUUAGCUCGCAAAGAAUCCGCGGUUCCGGGUUCUCAAAUACCGCUUAUCACUAAAUUACAUGCGUUAUCAAGAAGGCUAAUGUGUUCUUAAUGGACCGUAUUGGCAAGCUGUACUUUCCUCCGAGAGACACGGUCGUGAUGCCGCCUUCGCUCGAAGUCGAUGAUUAUUUUUUUUUCCAUGUCAAAUUGUAGUGUCAGGAAAUUGGGUAGAAGUAAAGUGUGUGCAGUCGUUGGCUCGGGGCGGUGGCGGACACAAGGCCUUGUAUCCUGGAGGCAGACGCAGAUGCACUCCAGUAACAUAACUUGAGUUCUAUGGAAAGUACUGCUUUGACAGUUCACCGAGUGACCACGCGUGGCGCUGCCUGUAUAGCCAGUACGGUCCAUUGGUGUUCUUGCUUCUUUCAGACAGUUCGCUCUGGACCGGUGCGGUCUCAACCCGCCAAACAGGACGUGGAAACCUAAAGAACUGGCAAUCAUGAAUUUCUGCGCCCAUCUCUCCUUUUGUUCUCACAAACAAGAUCUGCACGGUAAAUUACUUGAAAAUAUACUUGAGGAGAAGUGAAAUCAUGAAGGCCAGCUCUGGAGAACGAAGCAUUACUAUAGACAGUGGAAUAACAUUCGCAACCAUUUAUAAUCA